AGAGUUUGAUCAUGGCUCAGGACGAACGCUGGCGGUAUGCUUAACACAUGCAAGUCGAACGCGACGGUUAUUAAUGAUCCUUCGGGAGAUUUAAUAACUAGAAAGUGGCGAACGGGUGUGUAACGCGUGGAUAACCUACCUCAUGGAGAGGGAUAGCCCCGAGAAAUUGGGAGUAAAACCUCAUAUUAUUAUCGAGUCGCAUGGCUUGACAAUGAAAACUCCGGUGCCAUGAGAUGGAUCCGCGUCCCAUUAGCUAGUUGGUGAGAUAAUAGCCCACCAAGGCAACGAUGGGUAGCCGGUCUGAGAGGGCGAACGGCCACACUGGAACUGAGACACGGUCCAGACUCCUACGGGAGGCAGCAGUGGGGAAUCUUGCGCAAUGGGCGAAAGCCUGACGCAGCGACGCCGCGUGAGCGAUGAAGGCCUUCGGGUCGUAAAGCUCUGUCAGAGGGGACGAUAAUGACGGUACCCUCAGAGGAAGCCCCGGCUAACUACGUGCCAGCAGCCGCGGUAAGACGUAGGGGGCUAGCGUUGUCCGGAAUUACUGGGCGUAAAGGGCGUGUAGGCGGCCAGGCAAGUCAGUGGUGAAACACCUGGGCUUAACCGACGUAUUGCCAUUGAAACUGUCUGGCUUGAGGAUAGAAGAGGAGUGUGGAAUUCCCGGUGUAGCGGUGAAAUGCGUAGAGAUCGGGAGGAACACCAGUGGCGAAGGCGGCACUCUGGUCUAUACCUGACGCUGAGGCGCGAAAGCUAGGGAAGCAAACAGGAUUAGAUACCCUGGUAGUCCUAGCCGUAAACGAUGGGCACUAGGUGUAGGAGGUUUAGAUACCUUCUGUGCCGUAGCUAACGCAUUAAGUGCCCCGCCUGGGGACUACGGUCGCAAGGCUAAACUCAAAUGAAUUGACGG
rnacentral:rRNA from 1 species